rnacentral:rRNA from 1 species
GUGCAGCAGUCGCGCAACCUCUGCAAUACGCGAAAGCGUGACAGGGCUACCCCGAGUGCCGUCCGCUGAGGAUGGCUUUUCUCCGGUGUAGUAAGCCGGAGGAAUAAGGAGAGGGCAAGUCUGGUGUCAGCCGCCGCGGUAAUACCAGCUCUCCGAGUGGUAGGGACGAUUAUUGGGCCUAAAGCGUCCGUAGCCGGCCAAGCAAGUUUCCCGUUAAAUCCAGCGAUCCAAUCGUUGGACUGCGGGAAAUACUGUUUGGCUAGGGGGCGAGAGAGGCCAACGGUAUUCCCGGGGUAGGGGUGAAAUCCCAUAAUCCCGGGAGGACCACCAGUGGCGAAGGCUGUUGGCUAGAACACGCCCGACGGUGAGGGAUGAAAGCUGGGGGAGCGAACCGGAGUAGAUUUGGAAAGGAGAAAGAUCCUUCCACUGAAGACCCGGGUAGUCC